rnacentral:misc_RNA from 1 species
UACGUAGGGGGCAAGCGUUGUCCGGAAUUACUGGGCGUAAAGGGUGCGUAGGCGGCUAUUUAAGUCCCGUGUGAAAGGCCCCGGCUCAACCGGGGAGUGCCACGGGAAACUGGAUGGCUUGAGUACCGGAGAGGGCUACGGAAUUCCAGGUGUAGCGGUGAAAUGCGUAGAUAUCUGGAAGAACACCAGUGGCGAAGGCGGUAGCCUGGACGGUAACUGACGCUGAGGCACGACAGCUGGGGGAGCGAACAGG